ensembl:lncRNA
GGAAAACAUCUGAUGUGACUUUCAGUCUUUCUCUAAAAAUCAAAUUAUCAGUGUAGAUAAUUGAUGCUGACAUACUACAUAUGAAAAAUAAGGUCAUGUUAUUUAUUUUAUUUACUUGCACAGAAAUCAGUCUCUAUUGUAAAUCACUGUAUUUCAUCACUGAAUAGAAUAGAAGAGAAUGUCUUUAUUGUCACUAUACAGAUGUACAACGAGAUACAGAGCAUCUCCUACUCAGUGCAAACAUGUUUGAGAAGAAAGGAGGGGUGGAGUGCACAGCUUCUGCAGCACUGCAUACAAGAGCCCAUCUAUGCAAACACCCCCAACAAACAGCCUUCACCUCGGCCGUCCAUGAGCGCAGCAGCGGUCAGCCUGAAGGCAGCUUCUUCCUUUCAAGACCUGCGGGCCCCGAGUCCUGCCAGCAGAUACGACGAAGGCAAACGGAGAUAUAAACACUGAACAAGUCACGGACCUCACAAACUAAUGCUACCAAAAGUCCUCACAGCUAAUUUCACUGGGACACUGAAAGAAACUCUUUUUCCUUUCAUUAUUGUCGGAUCUACAUUUUGUUCAUCUGGACUUCUGGUUUAGGGUUUUUUCAUUCAAACUGCACGUUUUUUAAAAUGUAUUCCUGCGCAGGUGAAGUAGCUUUUAUGAGCCACUAGAUGGCAGAUGAUGAAUGCGGUGUGAAUGUGUAAUUUCAUGUUUUUUUCCCUUAAUUUUUGUAUUUUAUUACUUGAUAUUGAAUAUGAUGAAUACUGAAUAUUUGAAAAUGUUUUCAAUAGCUUUUGAAUGGAGUAUGGAGAAGAUUUAUACACACAUAUGUAUAUUUUUGUAUGAUUUUUUUUAGAGGAG